GCCUCUUUAGCUCAGUGGUAGAGCCCUGGUUUUGUAAACCAGUGGUCGUGAGUUCAAUCCUCACAGGGGGCA
rnacentral:tRNA from 1 species